rnacentral:rRNA from 1 species
GAUCCUGGCUUAGAAUGAACGCUGGCGGCAUGGAUUAGGCAUGCAAGUCGAACGAGAAAGCGCCUUCGGGCGCGAGUAAAGUGGCGCAAGGGUGAGUAACACGUGAGGAACCUGCCCCCGAGCCCGGAACAAGCCUGGGAAACCGGGCCUGAAACCGGAUGAGGCCCCCGGCCGCAUGGUCGGCGGGCCAAAUAUUCAUAGCUUGGGGAUGGCCUCGCGUCCCAUUAGCUUGUUGGCGGGGUGACGGCCCACCAAGGCGACGACGGGUAGGUGGUCUGAGAGGAUGGUCACCCACACUGGGACUGAGACACUGCCCAGACUCCUACGGGAGGCUGCAGUCGAGAAUCUUCCGCAAUGGGCGCAAGCCCUGACGGAGCGAUGCCGCGUGAGGGACGAAGGCCCUAGGGUUGUAAACCUCUGUCGUCCGGGACGAAACCAAUGACGGUACCGGGCAAGAAAGCCACGGCUAACUACGUGCCAGCCGCAGC